rnacentral:rRNA from 1 species
AUUAGAUACCCUAUUAUUUUUAUUGUAAAAUUUUAAGCUAGAGUAUUAAUAGCUAUAAUCUUGAAACUUAAAGAAUUUGGCGGUAUUAUAGUCUAUUUAGAGGAAUCUGUUAUGUAAUCGAUAGUCCACGUAGAACCUUACUUAUAUUAAUUCUUGUAUAUCAUUGUUUAAGAAUAUACUUUUAGGUAAUUUUCUAAAUAUAUAAUUAAUUAAAAUUUCAAAUCAAGGUGCAGUAAUAUAUAAGUUGAAUAAUGGAUUACAAUAAGUUAUAUUUAUUAUGAAUUUUUAAUUGAAAUAUAAUUUGAAAGUGGAUUUAAUUGUAAUUUUUUAAAGAUUAUUAAAAUGAUUUAAAGCUCUAUAAUAUGUACACAUCGCCCG